rnacentral:rRNA from 1 species
AACGAACGCUGGCGGCAUGCCUAACACAUGCAAGUCGAACGAGACCUUCGGGUCUAGUGGCGCACGGGUGCGUAACGCGUGGGAACCUGCCCUUAGGUUCGGCAUAACUCCCCGAAAGAGGUGCUAAUACCGGCUAAUGUAUUCGGACCAAAGAUUUAUCGCCUUUGGAUGGGCCCGCGUUGGCUUAGCUAGUUGGUAGGGUAAAAGCCUACCAAGGCGACGAUCCAUAGCUGGUCUGAGAGGAUGAUCAGCCACACUGGGACUGAGACACGGCCCAGACUCCUACGGGAGGCAGCAGUGGGGAAUAUUGGCCAAUGGGCGAAAGCCUGAUCCAGCAAUGCCGCGUGAGUGAUGAAGGCCUUAGGGUUGGAAAGCUCUUUUACCCGGGAUGAUAAUGACGGUACCGGGAGAAUAAGCUCCGGCUAACUCCGUG